rnacentral:rRNA from 1 species
AUUGAACGCUGGCGGCAGGCCUAACACAUGCAAGUCGAGCGAGCAGGGGAAGGGUGAGUAAUGUAUGGGGAUCGGCGCGAUAGAGGGGGAUACAUACUGGAAAAAGUGGCUAAUACCGCAUACUAUCGGCUGACACCAUUUGGGGAUAGAUAGUAGGUGGGGUAAAGGCACACCUAGGAGACGAUCCCUAGCUGGUCUGAGAGCAUGAGCCGUCACACUGGAACUGUGACACGGUCCAUACUCCUACGGGAGGCAGCAGUGGGGAAUCUUGCACAAUGGGCGCAAGCCUGAUGCAGCCAUGCCGCGUGUAUGAAGAAGGCCUUAGGGUUGUAAAGUACUUUCAGCGGGGAGGCGUUACCCGCAGAAGAAGCACCGGCUAACUCCGUGCCAGCAGCCGCGGUAAUAC